UACGUAGGGUGCGAGCGUUGUCCGGAAUUAUUGGGCGUAAAGAGCUCGUAGGCGGUGUGUCACGUCGUUCGUGAAAACCUGCAGCUUAACUGUGGGCGUGCGGUCGAUACGGGCAUCACUGGAGUUCGGCAGGGGAGACUGGAAUUCCUGGUGUAGCGGUGAAAUGCGCAGAUAUCAGGAGGAACACCGGUGGCGAAGGCGGUGGUCUGGGCCGACACUGACGCUGAGGAGCGAAAGCGUGGGGAGCGAACAGG
rnacentral:rRNA from 1 species